UGGCCUCCACCACCAGGGCUGCAUGCCUCGACCUUGGAUUUUGAUAUGCUGCUUUCGUGGAGAGCGAUCGAGGGAGGGGAAAGGCGCGAUCUUGAUGGGUUUUCUCUGAUCAAUUUUGGAUUUUUAAGAUUCAAGUUCGACCUUUUUCGUUCUUUUUUGGGUCAAGCCGAUUGAGGGUUUAACUGAGAUCAACUGGGAUCGAGCGAGUACGCAGGGUUCUGUUCUGGCUCCAACAAUCGAUUUCCUAAAAAGUGUUCCUUUGAUCUGAAAAGAUUGAAGGAAGUGGCGUACUGUGAACAAUCUGUUCGUGUUUUUCGUCGUCUUGUUUAAAUUUCCAAUCUUUUUGAUCGUUCAAAGUUGCGCAGCAGCGGAGCAGGGGACAAGAAGAUUUCAGUACCAAGCCCUCCGUCUGUUCGUCGUUUUUUCUCUUUUUGAAAGAAAACGCUCUCUGUUUUCUCUGUUGAAUCCCUCUUUUUCUCACUGUUUGAAGCUUUCGUGGCAUCAAGGGUUUGGCGAACGCUAUGCUGAGGAAGAAAUCGGUGAAAACAAGCCCUAAUGUCCGAUCCCCACUCUUCCAAUAGCAGCUGCUGCAACAAGUCCAGAGCUUUCUCAAUCUUCUCCUCUCCAAGGCUCUUUGUGGGUGUCUCCUCAAGUAGCUCCUCGGACUCCGAGGCCGCCAUGAGCCCGACCUCCAUCCUCGAGACCAAGAGCUUGUCUUCGAUCGGGCGCCAGCUCCUCUCCGAUGCUACCAAAUCCAGUGGCACAGAGAGCAAACUACAUGCUCGAUCAUUCGGCAACACUGACGCCGUCGGGCUCAGCAUCAUCGAUGCUCUCAACGAGGAGAAAUCUACCAAAGCUUUCCCCAAUUCGGAGAGCAGAAGGGUGGUGUUUGGGUCGCUUCUCAAGGUCCAAAUUCCUUCCCUUUGCGCCGGCCCAAUGUCACCAGUCAGAUCCCCGAUAGAGUUUGGCGUCAAGAACAAAGAAUCCCAACUAGCUCUGCUCUCCCCUGCCCAGAGUUCUCUAGGAUUGGAGAUGACGACUUCUUCUUCUUGUAGGGUCUUUGCCAGGAGCAUCUCUAUGAGUGAGAUGGAACUCUCGGAGGACUAUACUUGUGUGAUAUCUCAUGGUCCAAAUCCAAGAACCACUCACAUUUUUGACAAUUGUAUAGUGGAGAGCUGUGGGGAUGGGUUCACUGCUUCCAUCGAAACCAACAGCUCUACACCGACUGAUCGCCGAGGCCAUCUUAGCAAUGAUUUCUUGAGCUUCUGCUAUGCAUGCAGGAAGGAUCUUGGCCAAGGGAAUGACACCUUCAUAUGCAGUUAGGCGACAAUCAGGCAUUGAUUGACUCAAUAUUGCUGAGGUUUAAUCAUUCCUCUGGAGAGUGGUGAGAAAGCAUUCUGCAGCAGUGAGUGCCACAAGAAGGAAGAGUCAUUAAUCGAGAUAUAAUUUGCCCACAAUCUAGUUGAGCAUACCCUCGUUUCGCUGCAAUUCUUUUGGCGGUUAUGGAUUCUGAUCCUACACGAUGAAGAUGAUCUAAAUUGUGCUGUAGCCUGUUUGUUAAAAUUUUGCUUUCAGGGAUGAAAUCUAGUGAGGUUUAGAGGAAGCUAAGGGCGGGCUCAGUAGCUAGCAUAGUUUUUGACAGAGAGAGCUCUAUUUAAGGGUUACUUUCAUCUGUUAAUCAGUCUUGCUGUUACAAUGAGGAAACAAUAAUGAAUUAAAUAUGAUAUUCUCAA